UUCGGAACCGAGUGCGGUGGGCUAGGACUAUACGUUUGCAAGUUUAAGAGAUAAGCGAGAAGACCAGACAGAGCAAACAAUAAAAGGCUUUUUGUUGAGAACUGUAUAAAUGUAAGGGAGUACCAAAUCCCCUAUUUUGAAUGACAGUAUCACGGACUUUAUUACAUAUGUAAUUUUAUUCUGAUUAUGAAAGCAUCAGUAAUUUCACUAUUGAGGAAUAACCACAAUGUUUAUGAAUAUUUCCUUUGCUUCUAAAUAUGCGGUCUUUUUAAAUCAUGUAUUUUAUUUCAUUUGUAUAUAUAGUUUUUCGCUGUGUAAACUUCCUUUUUGCAAAAUUCUACGUCACAAAUUGAACAAGGCAAUUAGAUGUCUAGGGAAGUACUGAUGCACGAGAAAGCAUAUUGCAGCAUUGGUUAAUAAAACGAAAAAAUAGAAACCUAAGAUUUAACAAAGGGAAGUUGUUAACUAGUGGUGUAAACACUCAACACAGACAUGUCUUCAUACAGCAAACAUUUGUUGAGUACAAUGCUGAAUGAAACACAUUGAGAAACACUCUAUAGUGGGGAAGUAGCAAAUAUUUCAAUUCAGUGAGCAAUUGCUAAUGAAUGGAAAAUAUGACACAUAGAAUCUAUCUUCUCCCAGGGAGUUUGUAAUCUGUUAGUGAAGCAGGAAAGAAUAAUCAAGCAAUACUUUUUUGUUUGGACCAAAAGGGUGAGAAUAGACUAUAAACUCAUUUCAGGUUUUGUUUACUCUAGAACGUAAUCAUUUUUCUUCUCACAUGCCAUGUUGAUUUUAAUCUAAUCUCUUUAAAAUAUAUCCCCCUGAUUUCCAUCUUUCUUAGGAGAGAGGUGUCCCAUUUUGCGAAAGGACGUGAGUGUAUCUUGUCCUCCAUGUAAUGAAAGGGAGGGAUUACUUGCUAGGCUGCAUUCUGGGAAUGGUGAAACAGAGAUGGUGGUAAGUCAAGGAAUUUGUCCAAGGGCAAACUGCAUGCCUGUGGCAGAGCUUAGAAUAAUAUCCAGACCUAGGUUCCAACCCACUGUUAGAUUUUUUUUAACUUUGGAAUUUAUUUUGCAUAGAGUAUUAAGGGCUAGGAAGAUAAAAUAGGUUAUAGUGAUAGGGUACUUCGUGUACGUCUUUCCUCACUUCAGAUGACUGGGUUUUUUAAAGGAUUAUUUAGACUAUAUACAUAUUUAUUUAGCUGUACAGGAGUAGACUGACAUAUAUACGUGGUGAUGGAUCCCCAAGACAGAUCCUGUAACUGUGGCAGGAGGAUUGUGGAUAGGAUGGUGUCUACUGACUAUUCCCAAUGCCAGUGAUCUAAUUGGUUGGUCACCCAGAUUUUGCUCAACUCUGAUAAUUGUCAGAUGCAUUCCAACUAGAACUACUCCAUCUUAAAUGGGGCUGGGUAAGAUGAGGCUGAGACCUAUUGGGCUGCAUUCCCAGAUAGUUAAGGCAUUCUAAGUCACAGGAUGAGAUAGGAGGUCAGCACAAGAUACAGGUCAUGAAGACCUUGCUGAUAAACAGGUUGCAGUAAAGAAGCCAGCUAAAACCCACCAAAACCAAGAUGGUGACGAGAGUGACCUCUGGUCAUCCUCACUGCUACACUCCCACCAGCGCCAUGACAGUUUAUAAAUGCCAUGGCAACAUCAGGAAGUUACCCUAUGUGGUCUAAAAAUGGUAGACAUGAAUAAUCCACCCCUUGUUUAGCAUAUAAUCAAGAAAUAACCAUAAAAAUGGGCAACCAGCAGCCCUCGGGGCUGCUCUGCCUAAGGAGUAGCCAUUGUUUUAUUCCUUUACUUUCCUAAUAAACUUGCUUUCACUUUA
rnacentral:lncRNA from 10 species